CCAAUACGUAGCAAAUUACGGCAUUCCCCCAAUACUCUACUUCAAAUUGAAUAUCCUCCAAUUCAAUUUCCACCAUAUUUUGUCUCCCCUUCUUGAUAGGAGAAAUAUACUCCAGCGUAUACCCUGCAUUUGAGAGUCUUGCAAUAUCAAAAUCCUCCCAAAUCUAUUUUUUGUUUCUUCUCUGAUGCUUCUUCUUCUUCUACCUCAUCAGCCCAAGAUUUUUUCC
rnacentral:lncRNA from 1 species